AAAAAUUUCCAGAAAUGUUAUUGAUCUUGAAGAAGAUUUUACAGGAAAAAAAAUUUUAUAAUUUGAGAGGCCUGCCUUUUCCUUAACCUUCUAGGCCUUUUAUAGGCAACAUCUUACAUUUGUAUUUACAUUUCACUUACAUUUCAUUUUAUUUGAUUUCAUUUGCAUUUCAUUUGCUUCUGAAUUAUUAGUGAUUGAAAGACUGAUUCGUCUCUUUUCUUCUGUUUUAAUUCCUUUUGUCGAAAGCAUGCAAAGGCUGUCUUGUCUUCUUUAUUUUUGAAAGACUGAUUCGUCUUUUUUCUUCUGCUUUAAUUCCCUUUGUCGAAAGCAUGCAAAGGCUGUCUUGUCUUUUUUUAAUUUUUUUUUUUGAGGGAAUGUAUUCUUCAUCUCAAGAUAAAUUAGUGGUUUCUUUUGAAGUUGUUGAGUCUUCUUCUUGUUCCUGUUCUUCAUCAGAAUCAAGAGAGUUGAGCAUUUCCACCAUGAUCCUCUUGUAUUCUGUCUUAUUUUUUGCUUGGGCAAGCAGUGCACUUGCAUUUGAUUUAGCUUGAAGAAAUCUUACCGUUUCUUGAGAUAAUUUACCCAUCUUGCAGAAUUUUGGAUUUUUGUUGAACCAGUUAUUAAGGAACUGAUGAUCAUAUUUCCUGUCAUCAAACUUGUCCCACCACUUGGUUUUGAAUGUACGAAUAACCACAGGUGCUCCAUUUUGGGGAUCAACAUCAUAUGCAUAAUCCCAUGAUGUAAUCUAAGAGAUAAUUAAUUUUGAGAAAAAAUGAAUUGAAAAUGUAAUUUGUCCUAAUCAAGCUCAGGUUGAAAAUUUUGGGAGAAUUUUUUAUAUAAAUCGUCAAAUUUUGGAAGGAGUAUUUCCCUUAAUGGACCAAACCUAUUCCACCAAAGUGUGAACCAUAAUGGAAAUUUGUAUUGGUUUCCAAAUUUGAUAAAUACUAAUCAGGAAUAUCUGGUGUGUUUAUUGUUGAAGAGAAAGGUAUUGAACCAGGCUUGUUAAUAAUCCCAAUAAUUAAAAACAGGACAAUGGUCUAUGGUUGUUGUGAAUUUGGCUGAAAAUUUUUGAAGUUGGUUUAGGUUUUCUCCCCAGUCAAUGGGUCUAAGGACUUUUAGGAUUAGGGCUGUAGAAUGGGUAAUAAGAUUGGGAUCAUUUUUUUCGAUAUAGUGUUUGAAACAAACGGAUCUAGUUUGAAUCAGAAUACUUUCAUAAUAUUGUUAGGGUUUUUGGAAAUCCCAUAGUUUGUAAUGCCACCCCUGAAAGGCUUUUCUAAUUGUGAUAUUUGGAAAUUUCUCAUGAAAUCCGUUUUCUACAAGUAAAACUUUCUAGAAGGAUUUUUUGGGAUAGUAUUGGGUUGAACUCUUAUGGGAGGAAAACUCUGUCUGGGAUGUAGGAAAAGUAAUUUGGAGAGAUUUUGGUUUGUGUAAGACAAUCUCUUUUCCCUUUGAUUUUUCAAGUGCUGAAAUAGUAAUUUGUUUUAGGGGGUUUUCGAAAUUCAUCAUUGAUUAAAAGAUGUAUUUUUAUUAGAUAUCUUUGUAUUGAUAGCUCUGUAAGAAUCUUCACGACCCGGUACUCCCCUUGAGCCC
rnacentral:lncRNA from 1 species